ensembl:Y_RNA Y_RNA Y RNA
GGCUGGUCUGAUGGUAGUGGGUUAUCAGAAUUAUAACACUAAUGUUUCACUAAAGCUGGUAUACAACCCCUGACUCCUACAUUUGACUGGCUUUUU